GGGUUUAAUUGGGACUUCCUAAUAACCUAAUUGCAGAAAACACAGACAUGGUUGAUAAAAUCUCUACGUUUUUUUUUACCAAGUUUUUGAUACAGCCUCAAAUUGUUUGAUUAAAAAAUAUAUAAAAACAUAGUGUAUUGCAAUUUGUUAAAUCUUAGUGUAGAAAAUUGAUUCUUCAUAAUGUACCUUUUUUCCAAUCACCUUUUUAAAGUGAUUUUAAUUUUUUCUUGGCAUAUUAUCAGAAUUGAAAUGUAUCUCCUGGUGUAUGGCCAGAAUGACCCAUUUUAUGUUAUCACACGUUUUGAUUUAUUUUAUUGUUCAUGUUUUUCGCUAACAAGUUUUGACCCUUUGCAAUAACCUAAGGUGCUGUCCAGUGGUCACUGCAGGUGAGUAAUGACUUAGACCCUUCAGUAGUUAUGACAUACUCACCUGGUUUGUUUUCGCUAGUUACCAAGUGUUACUUUUUGAGUGUUCAUUAAUAAUGCAACCUGGUCUCUUUCUGUCUGUGUUCAGAUUAUUUUUCCUUCUUCACACGUUUGAAAUGCUGAUCAAUAAACCCUAAUAGUAUUGGAAUGAACAAGUCAUCUAUACAUAUAGCUAGCGGACAUAAUGAUAAUGACUCGAUAGUGUUGCCAUACAUUAUAAUAUAUAGAUUUCUUUUUAUUUGUGAGUUUUAAUGUUGUUUUUUUUAUGUCUCCACUUUCACCUGCAUUGGCAUGUUGGGGUCCAGCAUCAGUAAGAAGUCCAUAAUGAAGUUAGCUAGAAGACUCAUAUUUUCCCAUAAUUCACAGCACAAUGUCCACUCCAAAAACAGCUUCAUGAUGAGUCCUUUAACUAACUCCAUGGUGUCCAUCUAUUUGAUCUGUCUGUCAGCCAUGUAAGACCCUGACUCCUCUCUCACUAGUUGGUCAAUAAUCUCUCCUUUGACUAAAACUGUUCCUGGUAUUCAUUCAUUCAACUAGAUGAGACAUUUGAUCUGGAUAUUUGAACCAUUAAAAAGGUUAACAUGUUGUAAAUUUGACUUUCAUGUCAGUGUUUCCUUUACACUCAUACAUCAAAUGUAGAUGUACUUUACUGAUUCAAUUAAAAUAACGUGCACCCAGUCACCUGGUCAAUAGUUCAUCUAGUCACUCCAGCUGUAUUAGAUGUAUCAGAAGGACACUGCAUUGGAAGGCCUACACUGGGAACUGCCGAGGGGAAGUUGCUGGGUAGAAGAAGGACAGUUACUGAUGACUGCCUACUUACUGAGGGUUUGAUCCUUGUUUGAAUGAGAUUUAGCAUCUUUAAGUAGAUACUACAACCAUGUCCUUCCAGUUCUAUAUACAGUAUGUAUAUUGUAUUAUUUUUAAAUGUUGUAAUCUUUCAACACGCUCACUUCAUUAGUCUAGCAAAUAAUCAAGUUUUGUCUUAAAGUAUUUCUAAUAUGACACACUUCAUGUAAAAUCUGCAUUUUACAUCACUCUUCAGAGAAUAUGAAGGGGAGUAUAGAGCCUGACUGUGAAAGCCUGAGAUUACAGUCCAACGGUUGCAUAUCAUCAAAAAACCCCAAAAUACCCUGGUUUUACGUAAACACUGUAAAGCCUGUUUUUCACAUCCCUGAAUUCAUAGCUCUGAUAUCAAACUAGUUUUGAGAGUGGUUACAACAGCUUUGUUGACACUCAAACUGCAGAUUGGCCAGAAAAGUAACCAAAGAUGCCGAAAAUGUGACAUGGUCGUUAAGUUAUCCAGAACUUUUUCAGAUGCCUUGUUGAAAGAAUAUCUUUUACAUAUCGGUUUCCUUUCAGUUUUUCAGUUACGUAUUUUCAAUACGUUUGAUAUGUCAGUAGGUGUGUCAACAGAUUUAGAAUCAACAAAAACACGUUGUUUACAUGAUCGCUGUCCCGGGGGCGUCACCAGACCAGGACAUGUUUUGCCCAGAGUGUUUUACGGGGUACUUUUUGUUGAGUUAAAAGCGUUUCACACAGCAGAGAUCGUGUCAAUUGUGGGCAUUACUAAAACAGAAGGAUGCAAAUUCUGGUGACGUCCCUAACGAGAGAUGCAGUUAGAGGUUUUUCAGUCUUUACGUUUUGUGGAGUUGGAGGACAACACUCCAUUGUUUGUAUCGAUUACUGACGGUGUCCUUUUGAUUUCGGGUUGAUACCUUGGACAUUCGGAGGGAAUGAUGAUACAAUGUCAUCUGUACCAUACUUUUGUGUUGGUGUUCCUUAUUUUCUUUACCUUAUGUUUUUGCGAAAUGUAGUGAUUGCCAUGUCAAAUCAAAUCAGCCUUAUAAAUGCAUUUCUUACAACGCCGCAAGCAAAACUGACUGAAAGCCUACAAUACUCUAAAGCUCAGAUUUCUACUAUAUUUUACUAUAUAUGUUUGCUAUCGAGAUUAUAUAGUCUUUAUUUUCUUUUAACAUUCAUAAGUAUGAGUCCUAACAACUGGAAUGUGGAUGAUCGUAAUAAUACCAGUAAUAAUAUUGAUUAUGAUCAUAAACAGGGCAAUAUUAUUUUAUCCGAAUGGUUUCAGGGGGACAUUCUGUACUUUGCUUUUCUCUGCAUUUGUCAUUCAUUUUUUUUCAGUUUGUUAAUAAAAUACCUUUUCCCCACCAUCUUCCUAAUACCAAGGUUACGCCUCUUAUACACAAAGAAAAUAUUUGCCAAAUUGCUACAAAGCAAACAUUUGGUGGCUCAGCUCACCUACAUAUUAUACAUUCAGUUAACAAAGAAAACGACAUUAUGCCUCCCACGGGGAAGAAAGAUAGUGAUGAUAAAUAGACAAAGACUAAAUUUAAAGAGGGAAGAAGGAAACGUAGGAAAUGCUUGACAAUUGUCCUUGAGCACAGGGAGCUCCAACCUAGAUGAGAGGGUUGAACAUACAUAUGGAUGCUUGAGUAAAGAAUGCAUGGUCACAUAAAAUGCAUUUUUAUUUUCUGUGUUUAAUAGCAUUGUUUUAUUUAAGCCACUAGACACUGUAUGUUCAAAUCUUGUAUUAAAAAAAAGUGUUCUCACCAAA
ensembl:lncRNA